rnacentral:tRNA from 1 species
UUAUUUUAUGCUGAGUGGUUAAAACAGGUAAUUAAACACAAAUUUAUUCCCGUUCAAACGCACGAUGCUUCU